rnacentral:rRNA from 1 species
GAUGAACGCUGGCGGCGUGCCUAAUACAUGCAAGUCGAGCGAACAGACGAGGAGCUUGCUCCUCUGACGUUAGCGGCGGACGGGUGAGUAACACGUGGAUAACCUACCUAUAAGACUGGGAUAACUUCGGGAAACCGGAGCUAAUACCGGAUAACAUGUUGAACCGCAUGGUUCAACAGUGAAAGACGGUUUUGCUGUCACUUAUAGAUGGAUCCGCGUCGCAUUAGCUAGUUGGUAAGGUAACGGCUUACCAAGGCAACGAUGCGUAGCCGACCUGAGAGGGUGAUCGGCCACACUGGAACGGAGACACGGUCCAGACUCCUACGGGAGGCAGCAGUAGGGAAUCUUCCGCAAUGGGCGAAAGCCUGACGGAGCAACGCCGCGUGAGUGAAGAAGGUCUUCGGAUCGUAAAACUCUGUUAUUAGGGAAGAACAAAUGUGUAAGUAACUAUGCACGUCUUGACGGUACCUAAUCAGAAAGCCACGGCUAACUACGUG